GAGCUCGUAGGCGGUUUGUCGCGUCUGCUGUGAAAUCCCGAGGCUCAACCUCGGGUCUGCAGUGGGUACGGGCAGACUAGAGUGCGGUAGGGGAGAUUGGAAUUCCUGGUGUAGCGGUGGAAUGCGCAGAUAUCAGGAGGAACACCGAUGGCGAAGGCAGAUCUCUGGGCCGCUACUGACGCUGAGGAGCGAAAGGGUGGGGAGCAAACAGGCUUAGAUACCCUGGUAGUCCACCCCGUAAACGUUGGGCGCUAGAUGUGGGGACCAUUCCACGGUUUCCGUGUCGUAGCUAACGCAUUAAGCGCCCCGCCUGGGGAGUACGGCCGCAAGGCUAAAACUCAAAGGAAUUGACGGGGGCCCGCACAAGCGGCGGAGCAUGCGGAUUAAUUCGAUGCAACGCGAAGAACCUUACCAAGGCUUGACAUAUACGAGAACGGGCCAGAAAUGGUCAACUCUUUGGACACUCGUAAACAGGUGGUGCAUGGUUGUCGUCAGCUCGUGUCGUGAGAUGUUGGGUUAAGUCCCGCAACGAGCGCAACCCUCGUUCUAUGUUGCCAGCACGUAAUGGUGGGAACUCAUGGGAUACUGCCGGGGUCAACUCGGAGGAAGGUGGGGACGACGUCAAAUCAUCAUGCCCCUUAUGUCUUGGGCUUCACGCAUGCUACAAUGGCCAGUACAAAGGGCUGCAAUACCGUAAGGUGGAGCGAAUCCCAAAAAGCUGGUCCCAGUUCGGAUUGAGGUCUGCAACUCGACCUCAUGAAGUCGGAGUCGCUAGUAAUCGCAGAUCAGCAACGCUGCGGUGAAUACGUUCCCGGGCCUUGUACACACCGCCCGUCAAGUCAUGAAAGUCGGUAACACCCGAAGCCAGUGGCCUAACCGCAAGGAUGGAGCUGUCUAAGGUGGGAUCGGUAAUUAGGACGAAGUCGUA
rnacentral:rRNA from 1 species